rnacentral:rRNA from 1 species
GAGGCAGCAGUGAGGAAUAUUGGUCAAUGGACGAGAGUCUGAACCAGCCAAGUAGCGUGAAGGAUGACUGCCUAUGGGUUGUAAACUUCUUUUAUACGGGAAUAAGUGAGGCACGUGUGCCUUUUUGUAUGUACCGUAUGAAUAAGGAUCGGCUAACUCCGUGCCAGCAGCCGCGGUAAUACGGAGGAUCCGAGCGUUAUCCGGAUUUAUUGGGUUUAAAGGGAGCGUAGGCGGACGCUUAAGUCAGUUGUGAAAGUUUGCGGCUCAACCGUAAAAUUGCAGUUGAUACUGGGUGUCUUGAGUACAGUAGAGGCAGGCGGAAUUCGUGGUGUAGCGGUG